AUCUCUGGCGCUUGUGUUUCCAAACAGAACUGCAGACAUCCCCACUUGAAGAAACCCAUAUGAGGCCCUGUUAUUACAUCGGGAGCUGAAGUCAGCAAGCACACUACUGUCAGCAGACACCCACAGGACAUGACAGGGUUGUUUGGACCAUGCCCCUCCCAAUAGUUAUGACCGGAACAGAGUGGAACGCCCCGCCAUCAUGACUGGCAGAAAACAACCACCGCAGCAGCACUGGUUUAUGCAACACAGACCACGUUUCUGUCGUACAAGGAAGGCAUUCUGUGGGCAAAAACCAAACCCGCUUCAGAUUCCAGUGAACACCCCAAACUUGGUUCUUUACCAACGCAUGGAGUCGAGGAAGAACCUGGACAAAACCUAGGAAGCAGACGUAUUGUGGUCAUCUGUCUGCAGCGGUCAUUUUGUCAUUUUGAGAAUAAUUAGUGCACAUUUUAUGAAAGCAGGGUGUGGAAGGUACCUGUUGGGAGGUCAGUACUACGGCAGGUAAGACCUGUCCUGUUUCCUCCAGCUGCUUGUAGUAAGCAGAAGCAGAGUGGGUUGCUGGUGGUGGCCGGUGGGGGGAGGUUUGCAGAUAUUUUUCUUCUGCUUCUAGCUCUGCAGAGGGUGGGGAAAUCCUUGUGCUGUUCAUGAAUAAUCUCUUGACCUUGCUUAGGACGAUACCCAGUGCUCUGCCCUUCCAGGCUCAUCAGUACACAAGCCCCAGGAGGCGUCUGAGUGGAGUCAGGUUAAAAUCCUUUGGACACUAACUGAAACUCUGAUCCCUGUGGUUCAUGACAGAUCAUCAAUUAUGGAAAGGUCUGAUGACCGCUAACUGCAUUCCCGUCUCCUCCAGCUGAAACUAUAGAGGGUCGAAGACCCGGAUUGCUGAGCUCUGCACACAGUGGGAGGAGUGGGGUGGGGAGGGACACAGAGAAUGGCUCACCAAGAGACUCUGGCUUCUAACAACCGGCUCAAGAGA